CAAUAGAUCCCUCAGAGAUGAUGAGGUAGAUAGGUUCGGCAUGUAAGUCUAGCGAUAGAUGUAGUGGACGAAUACUAAUGGAUCAAAUGACUUAUUCAA
rnacentral:rRNA from 1 species